CAUAACAGGUUCGAAUAUUUAUUAAAUAUUCUGUGCAAAACGAAUAGGAAUAUUUUCUAUUUACCAAUAUAAAACAGAUUAUACAUAGCUAUAGUUAUUAAAAUAAAUAGAAAUAUUUAUGAAUAUUGAAAUAUAUACAAAAAAUUAAAUAAUGAUUGAUUGAUGAUUAAAUAUCGUUUGUUAUGUGAAAAAAAUUGUGUGUACAUAUGUACAAGUGAAUUCAUAACUCGGAUAUGUCAACCAGUGUAAUAUACACAAAUAAAUAUACAUUUGUUUGUAUAUGCAUGCACUAAAAGUAUGUCUAGAUAAACACCAAGUGUGUGUUCAUAUGUGAAAGUAUACAUUUAUAUAUGUAUGUGUAUAUACACGUAAUAUAAAUAGACGUUUUAAGUAACUCAAAAAAAGAACUUACAUUAUCUAGCUGGCGUGAAAAUGAAAUAUAUUAUUAUAACCAGCGUUUUCUAUAUGAUUGUUUAAUCUUUUACAUUCAAUGGAUUUAUUCAUUAAAACAUUUAUGCGGAGGAUAUCGCUAUGGAACCAAGGAAGUAUACGUGUGUUAAAGGCACAUCCAAUUUUCCUACUGAUGACAGCCCUUAAUUUUAAAAUAAUAACUCUUUGUUACGUCAUUGAGCCAGCCCGCCAUUUCAUCAUUAUUAUUA
rnacentral:lncRNA from 1 species